UGGAAAGAUGAAUCAAAGAAGGUAAUAAUCCUGUAGUCGAAAAUGUUGUCUCUCUUGAGUGGAUCCUGAGUACGACGGAGCACGUGAAAUUCCGUCGGAAUCUGGGAGGACCAUCUCCUAAGGCUAAAUACUCUCUAGUGACCGAUAGUGAACCAGUACCGUGAGGGAAAGGUGAAAAGCACCCCGGAAGGGGAGUGAAAUAGAACCUGAAACCGUGUGCUUACAAGUAGUCAGAGCCCGUUAAUGGGUGAUGGCGUGCCUUUUGUAGAAUGAACCGGCGAGUUACGAUUUGAUGCAAGGUUAAGCAGUAAAUGUGGAGCCGUAGCGAAAGCGAGUCUGAAUAGGGCGUUUAGUAUUUGGUCGUAGACCCGAAACCAGGUGAUCUACCCUUGGUCAGGUUGAAGUUCAGGUAACACUGAAUGGAGGACCGAACCGACUUACGUUGAAAAGUGAGCGGAUGAACUGAGGGUAGCGGAGAAAUUCCAAUCGAACCUGGAGAUAGCUGGUUCUCUCCGAAAUAGCUUUAGGGCUAGCCUCAAGUGAUGAUUAUUGGAGGUAGAGCACUGUUUGGACGAGGGGCCCCUCUCGGGUUACCGAAUUCAGACAAACUCCGAAUGCCAAUUAAUUUAACUUGGGAGUCAGAACAUGGGUGAUAAGGUCCGUGUUCGAAAGGGAAACAGCCCAGACCACCAGCUAAGGUCCCAAAAUAUAUGUUAAGUGGAAAAGGAUGUGGCGUUGCCCAGACAACUAGGAUGUUGGCUUAGAAGCAGCCAUCAUUUAAAGAGUGCGUAAUAGCUCACUAGUCGAGUGACACUGCGCCGAAAAUGUACCGGGGCUAAACAUAUUACCGAAGCUGUGGAUUGUCCUUUGGACAAUGGUAGGAGAGCGUUCUAAGGGCGUUGAAGCAUGAUCGUAAGGACAUGUGGAGCGCUUAGAAGUG
rnacentral:rRNA from 1 species